GAUCGUAUCGGACAAUAAGCAUAUUGAGGUGGAACACAGGAAACGCAGGAGCAGAAUGCGGAAAGCAGCGUUCUUUUGAAGACCCUGACCUGGAGUUACACACUGACUUUGGCUCUUUGUGGGAAAGAGAUCCGUUCUCGGGGUUUCAGGACUAGCUGUUGUUUGGCACACCAAGGGUUCGGCCUGAGAGUCCGGCUUGGAUUUGGAAACCUAAAAUCUUGGGGCUCUGGAGACAGUCGGAUUGAGACUCGGUGUCACGACAGAACCGUGUGUCAUCGGGGAGUCGGAAUAUCUACAGAGAAAAGGCACAGCUCAUUCAACAUAUCCUCAUAAGACAUGGUCUCUAAUCCAGGCAGCAAGCUGUGCGUAGAAGAGUUCGGAGAUUAGCACCCGGUCACUUGAAUGAAACUUUCACAAUUAUCAGAAGAUCCAAAGAGAUGCGAGCCAAUAGAAUUCAAAGAUCAACUGAAGGGGUAGCCAAUCAGGACCAAGGCAAGUGAACAGUGGGGGCACUCCCGGAGAGAAACACCAACAACUGUGUACUGAGCAUAUUACCUCAACUAAUGAUGAAAUGUCUGCAAGUUCAAUGCUGAGCUUAGCGAGUACCACAGCAUCAAACGCCUCAGACUGAGCUACCAAUAUUCACCACAUCCUAAAGUUAAUCUUUUAUCACAGGCACAUAGCAUCAGAUAAGCAGUGUUCACAGGAAAAAAAACACAAAUUAAACAAUUUGUAAGAUUCCGGUAAAAUAAUUUCCCUCCCUGCAUUCCCACUCUGACCUUUUACCUCUUCUCGUAUGCCAAUCACUUUCCCCUGGGUCCCCCUCCUGCUUUCCCUUCUCCCACGGUCCACUCUCCUCUCCCAUCAGAUUUCUUCCUCUCCAGCCCUUUACCUUUCCUACCCUCUUGGCUUCACCUAUCACCUACUAGUUAUCCUCCUUCCUUUCCUCCCACCAUUUUAUUCUAGAAUCUUCCCCCUUCCUUUUCAGUCCUGAAGAAGGUUUUGGCCUGGAACAACGACUGUUUAUUCGCUUCUAUAGAUGCUGCCUGACCUGCUGAGUUCCUCCAGCAUUUUGUGUGUAUUGCUUUAAACAACGCAUACAGUUUUUACAAGAUUGAACACGAGUAGCACAAAAUUUUAAUAACUAUUCUCCUUAUUUCUGCAGUUUAUCAAAGAUGAAAAAGAUUAACUUUUUUUUGUCAUUGGCACUUCAUUGUAAAAUUCAUUGUUUAUGCCAACAACCAGCACAGUAUGAGGAUGUGCUGGGGCCAGCCCAGAAGUGUCCUCACACUUCUGUCACCAACAUAGCAUGUCCACAACUCACUAAUCCUCAUUCAAACGUUUUUGGAAUAUGGGAGGAAACUGGAGCACCCGGAGGGAAUGAUCAUUAUCAUGCUGUGUAUAAACCACCUGUCAAACUCUCCACAUGAUGACUAUGUUCCUUGGCUGCAAGGUGCUUUGUGACAAUACGAAAGAGCAAUGGAAGAUCAAGACGUUCAGUUUCUUCCCCUCUAAAUCACCAUCUUGACUUCUUUCCACGUUACACUCAGUGGCCACUUUAUUAGGUACACUUGCCCGUUAAUGCAAAUAUAUAAACAGCUAAUCA